rnacentral:rRNA from 1 species
ACGGUGGGUGAUCUGCCCUGCACUUCGGGAUAAGCUUGGGAAACUGGGUCUAAUACCGGAUAGGAGCCAUCUUUAGUGUGGUGGUUGGAAAGUUUUUUCGGUGUAGGAUGAGCUCGCGGCCUAUCAGCUUGUUGGUGGGGUAAUGGCCUACCAAGGCGGCGACGGGUAGCCGGCCUGAGAGGGUGUACGGCCACAUUGGGACUGAGAUACGGCCCAG